GGUGGAGAACCUUUAUGUCUAGCUCAGGGAUUAUAACUACACCAAUCAGCACUCUGUAUCUAGCUCAAGGUUUGUAAACACACCAAUCAGUACCCUGUGUCUAGCUCAGGGUUUGUGAGUGCACCAAUCAACACUCUGUAUCUAGCUGCUCUGGUGGGGCCUUGGAGAACCUUUAUGUCUAUACUCUGUAUCUAACUAAUCUGAUGGGGACGUGGAGAACCUUUGUAUCUAGCUCAGGGAUUGUAAAGGCACCAAUCAGCGCCCUGUCAAAACAGACCACUGGGCUCUACCAAUCAGCAGGAUAUGGGUGGGGCCAGAUAAGAGACUAAACGCAGGCUACGGGAGCCAGCAGUGGCAACACGCUCGGGUCCCCUUCCACACUGUGGAAGCUUUGUUAUUUCACUCUUUGGGUCCACACUGCUUUUAUGAGCUGUAACACUCACCGCAAAAGUCUGCAGCUUCACUCCUGAAGCCAGGGAGACCACGAGCCCACCGGGAGGAACGAACAACUCCAGACGCGCCACCUUAAGAGCUGCAACACUCGCCGCGAGGGUCCGCGGCUUCAUUCUUGAAGUCAGUGAGACCAAGAACCCACCAAUUCCGGACACAGCACCAGGAAACUCUGCAAGGACUCUGCAUUUCAUCUGGAGAACAAUGGACUGGAAGAGUACAUAAUCUAUCCCCUUCACAUCAACACACAAGCACUGAUAUUUCUCUGAUAUUUGCUGCUACAACCUCCCCAGAUGCAGCCACAACUUACUUUGUUGUUUCUUUACACUGAACACAUACCUUAGCUGACCUUGCUUCCUGAAGUGCAAAUUGCGCAAAUGUAAUCUUUGCAAAAUUCCUCAUAUUCCUCAAACAUUUGCUCAAACUUCAUCAUUUUUGAAGACUCUGAUCACCCUACAAAUGCUACAGACAUCUACCAACUCAGCAUUCUAUUCAUUUAAUUACUCCAAUAUUGUCAUUGUUUCAAAUAUCCAUAACCUUUUAAUGUAUUAUAUAAAUUAUUUAUUAUUGUAGAAAAUGAAAAUUAGCUGGACAGCAAAUAUCUACCCAGUCAAAAAAGAUUUAGAUAAAUUCAGCUGGAAAGUUAACAGGAAACACAUUUCUUCCAAGGUUUGUGGCCACUGAAAAGUGGUAAGAUAACUGCCUUCUUUGAUUGACUACCUCUUUCUUUCUUUCCUCCUUUUUUCUUUCCUUUCCUUUCUCCUUUCUUUCUUUCUUUCUUUCUUUCUUUCUUUCUUUCUUUCUUUCUUUCUUUCUUUCUUUCUUUCCUUCUUUCUUUCUCUUUCUCUUUCUUUCUCUAUCAUAAAUUGUGCUUUUUGAAAUUAUGCCGGUAAGAACAACAUAUCCCACUCUUGCUUGGAUAAUCUGUCAUUUUGAAAGAGAGAAGCAACCUUUAUACACAAUCUAAACUCAAAACUUCAGUUGGGAGUUUCUGAAUAAAAUAUUAACUUUAUUGUUUCCAAAGAAUUAAAACUCAGAGUCCACUUUGCAGUUCAGACGAAAACCCCAAAUUUUAUUUGGAAAAAAAAAUGGCCCAAUUCAGUGAAUAUUGGAAGAGAAUCAAUAUAGAGAAUAGAAUAUCCAAGAGCAAAUAACCUAGAAACUUUUUUCAAGAUAUAUACUGUAAGGUUGGGCAUGGUGGUUCAUGCCUGUAAUCCCAGCACUUUGGGAGGCUGAGGUGGGCGGAUCACCUGAGGUCAGGAGUUUGAGACCAGCCUGACCAACAUGGUGAAACCCCAUCUCUACUAAAAAAACAUGCAAAAAUUCAUCGGGUGUGGUGGCAUGUGCCUGUACUCCCAGCUACUCAGGAGGCUGACGCGAGAGAACUGCUUGAACCCAGGAGGCGGAGGUUGCAGUGAGCCGAGAUUGCACCACUGCAUUCCAGCCUGGGCAACAGAGCGAGACUUCAUCUCAAAAAAAAAAAAAAAAAAAAAAAAAAGAGAGAUAUACUGUAAAGAAACUAUGCCAUAUAUGAGGGCCGUAAAUAAUGUCCAUAAACAUGAGGUGUGCAAUAACCAGAAUCUGAACGUUAUAUACAUUUUUAUCAAUUAGAAUGGAACAUAUUUUCAAAGGAUUUAUAACUAUUCAAUAGUUAAAAUGGACACACUAGAUCUAUAUAUCAACAUAGGAAGCUCUUGAAAAUUAAUUCUUAGUAAAAUUGGCAAUUUCCAUUACAUAUAAAAUUUGAAAAUACAAAAUAAUACCAUGAAUAAUUUGGGAGCAUAUUGAUAUAUAGCAAAUAGCAAAUGUAUUGAAUAUCGAUGGGAACGAAUCAGAAUAAUCGUUACUCUAGGAAGGAUUCUGAUUGCCUCUGGGAUGGUGUGCAAAAAUGUUUUAAUAUCUUUAGAUUUCUUAAUAUUUCUCAAGCAAAUAUAACAAAAUCUUCCCAUCUUUUGUAGUCCCAAAAUUAGGUAUAUGUACCUUUGUUGAAUUAUUAUCUGCUCUUUCUUAAAUUUAUAUUAACAAAUAAAAAAUAUAAACUAAAAAAUAAUUUAGCACUAAACUAAAAAAAAUUUAGACAACGGUAAAUAAACUGAUUUAUGAAUGUCUUUAAUUAUUCCAUCACUAGGAAAAGCAGGCUUGCUAUUUAUGUUCUGCUUAAUCUGAUGGGUCCUGAGAAUGGCAGUCAUUCUGCAUUUUUCCACAUUUUUUCCUUUUACCUAGUGGAAAUUAUCUUUGCAGUUAUCUUACUUGUUCUCCAUCAAUGCAUACAAGGAUUCUGAGAACUGGUUGGGACCAUUUAAAAUAUUUUAUUUUCACACGCUGGAAAGGCUGAAUAUAAAGUUAGGACUUACAUCAAAUGUCAUAAAUUCCCCAGAGAUCCUGCUCUUUGACCGCAAUAACAGGGUAAAAAUUCAGUAGUAGUCUACAGUGUCUUCUGAACAAAUAAAUACCUGAUGACUAUGCAUUUUACUGAUAACCCAGGGUCUACCUGCUUUCCUCUCUAACAACUUUUCUAUUGGCCAUUUCACAGUUUGUUACUUUCCUUGCCUAAGGUAGGAAAAGAAAAUAAAUUCAGAGUUCAAAAUUUAAAUGAGCCUACUAGGAUAAUUUAUUUUAUUUUAUCCACCCAAAGACUCCAAAAAUCUGAAAGCAAAAUCUAUAUAGAUAUGAUAUAUAUUAAAAUAUUAUAAUAUAUAAAUAUGUAUAUUUUAUUUCUAUUAGACAAAGAAAUUAGAAAAUAUACCUGCCAAAUAACAAUGAAAUCUAAAAAUUAAAAAAUACCUUGGGGAAAAUACUGAGAGUUGCCUGAUUCCUCCAAAGAAAGAACUGAAGUAGGCUACAUUUUUCCCUAUAAUUAAGCAUCACACUCUUGAAAGACCUUUCCAAUCAUCCUUUCAUUAGAAAGCUGGUAUUUAGAAAGCUAGGUGUAUCUUAGGAGAAUCAGGAAUGGUUCCUGUAGAACAUUCAAGGAAGUAGUGAGAGUGUUGCCACAUAAAACCUUGCUUAAACUUUAUUUUAAAUUUCUGUUGCCUGUCUUCAACCAAGGAAUCCUGCUGGCAGUGAAAUACAAUAAAGAAAAGAGAAGAAAGCAUUGUUCUGUCUUUCAUGAAAAACAAAGACACUUCUAAAUUACUGGGAUUUUUUUAUUUGUCCUCUUGCUAUCUUCCCCUCUCUUGCCACCUCCCCUCCCCAGUCUCUGGUAAUUUAAUGAACCAGAUGAGCCGUAAGAAAAUUUUAAAUUAAGGGAAGACUUUACCCAGGGGGGGAAAAAAAAGAAUAAUAAAUAUAUAAGCAGGUAACGAACACCGUCACAAGGGGAAGUUCCCAAGAAGUAAAGGAAAUAUUCAAGGUUCCUCUGACCUCAACCCAAAA
rnacentral:lncRNA from 10 species